UACGUAGGUGGCAAGCGUUGUCCGGAUUUAUUGGGUUUAAAGGGUGCGUAGGUGGCCCUGUAAGUCAGUGGUGAAAUAUCUCAGCUUAACUGAGAGGGUGCCAUUGAUACUGCAGGGCUUGAGUAUAGAUGAGGUAGGCGGAAUUGACGGUGUAGCGGUGAAAUGCGUAGAUAUCUGGAGGAACACCGGUGGCGAAGGCGGCAUCCUGGACCGGUAUUGACGCUGAGGCGCGAAAGCCAGGGGAGCAAACGGG
rnacentral:rRNA from 1 species